AUAUCUUUAUAUUUAUUAUCAUCUUCAAACCGUUAAUUUAAAUUAAGUAGUUUAAAUUAAGAAUAACUUUCUUUUUUACUCCUUCAAUUAAUUAUAUCGUUUGCCCAUACAUAUUGUCACACUUUUAAAGAAUAAAGUUUUACAUGUUUAUUUUGGUUGAUUCAUCCUCUAUAUUCUCCAAUAUACUACUUUCCAGCUGGAUAGUUCGGAUAAUUCGACGCAAAGACUCUCAUCUACCUCGUUUACAAUAAAAAUUAAAACUGUCCAUUGUAAUGUAUUAAGGUGAGGGUAACUUAAUAAUAAAUAGUCUCGUUCCAACCGCCGUUGUUUUUGCAGUAAGUGGUUGUGAAUCGUCAGAUAAUAAAAGUUGUAAAUAUGCAGUUUUUAAAUCUAAUUUACUAUAUACUUCUCCCCCGCUUAACGCUGCAAACAAUUGUUCAAUACGUGGUAAGGGGUAAUGAACAUCUUUUAAUAAUUUAUUGACUGUUAUUUUAUAGUCGCCGCACAGCCGUAUUGACCCAUCUGGUUUAAUCACGGGUACAAUCGGCGUGCCAUAGUCCGAGCGAUCCACCUUGUAAAUAACUUGCUCACUUUGUAAACGUUCUAACUCACGCUCGACCGGAGUUCGCAGCGCUAAGGGAAGUGGUCGGGCUUUAUAAAAUAUAGGCGUUUUAUCUUUUACGUGCAAUUUAAUUUUAUGUUUAAAUGUGCCUAAUUUCUCCGAAAAUACCUCGGGAAAUUCGUUUCUUAAUUGCAACACUACCGGAUCUAUGUCAUCAUUGAUGUGAAAUAAAUUAAUUGAUUGCAAUUUAAGUUCUCGUAACCAACGACGGCCUAGUAAUGGCGGCCCGCCUCGUUCUAUCACAAAUAACGGUAACAAGGCGUCAGCUGACGGCCGGCCGGUGUUGUCAUCGCCGACACAGCGCACGCACACAUCGAUGCGUCCCAGCGGCACUAUUGCAUCUCCCGUGUAUGAUUGCAAUUUCAUUUUAUCAAUAAUAAUAGGUAUGCUAGAAAAGAAGCGAUCGUAAAAUGACUUGGAUAUCGCCGAUAUUCUACUCCCUGUGUCUAUUUCAAAUAGUACUUUCUUAUUGUUUACCAACAGUUCACAAAAAUAGGGCCCAUCAUUCAAGUUCUUAACUGAGAUACCAUUGACAUUAUAUAACCCCUCGAACCCCUCACGUUCCGAGUCCGAGUCACUUUCAAUAAAAUAAUUUUGGUACCUGGAUUGUCCUGCUUCCUUCGGGUUUCUGGUACACGCGACACUCAAAUGCCCUUUCACUUUACACUUAUCACACACAUAAACUUUAUAUCUACACUUGUUGGGCGUGUGUCCCUCCUUGGAGCACCGCCAGCAGGCGACCCUCGUCCUCGGGCGCUCGCCGCGCGCAGCCGCGUGGCGGAACAGCCCGGAGUCCGCAGUGGCGUCGCCCGCGCCGAGUCUCGCCGAGCCGGCCGCCGGCCACAGCGCGGCGCGCGAGCCGCCCGCGGCCUCCGCCGCGUGCCGCUCGGCCGCCUCCAGCGCCAGCGCCAGCUCCACCGCCUUCUUGUAGUCGAGCGAGGCUUCCGCGAAUAAUCUGGAUCGCAUCUCCUCACUCCGUAACCCUGAUACGAACUGAUCGCGUAUGUUUUCUUCGAGGCUCGCACCGAAAUUGCAGUGGGUUGCUAGAUGCUUUAGACUUUGCAAAAACACACCGAUCGAUUCGCCCUCACCUUGCCUCCUCUGCCUAAAAGUAUGACGCUCAGCAAUUUCGGAGCGCUUAGGCUCCAGGUGGUUUUUCACUAAAGUCACGAUUUCGUCGAACUUUUUGCUUUCCGGAUGAUCGGGAGCACACAAGUCGCACAUGAGCGCAUAGGUUGCCGCCCCGACAUGAGUAAGCAACGUGGCCACACGUAAUUCAUUAUCGAUAUCGUUGAGUUUAAUGAAUUGUUCCACGAGACGAACGUACGCUGGCCAAUUCCCAGGCCCGUCCAAAUUAAAUUCGUGCACUUUCCCGAUCGGCAUGGUGAUUUAAUCUUUGAAAAACCUCGUCGCCAUGUGAUAUACGUAGUAAAACAACGGCGGUUGGAACGAGACUAUUUAUUAUUAAGUUACCCUCACCUUAAUACAUUACAUAUUUCCCCUCCUUUGAAAUUACAUAAUUUAUAUAUAAAAAAUAAACUUAGUGUUUCGUUAGGUGCUAACUUAAUAAUUACCAUAAGAAAGAAAAAAAAAUAACUUUAUCCAUUCAUACUUAAAUAUAUGAACACAGAAAAAAAAAUGAUUUUCACUAAUAGUCUCCUAUCUACUAUAAGAUUGCAAACAUGUAUACACAAAAUAUUCCUUCUUGUCCUAGCGAAAUUCUACAAUCUAUUAUGAUAUAAUAAAAUUAAUUUUAACUACAUACAAAGAAAAACAUAAAAGAUAUCUUGUCCU
rnacentral:lncRNA from 1 species